rnacentral:rRNA from 1 species
GAUGAACGCUGGCGGCGUGCCUAAUACAUGCAAGUCGAGCGAAUGGAUUAAGAGCUUGCUCUUAUGAAGUUAGCGGCGGACGGGUGAGUAACACGUGGGUAACCUGCCCAUAAGACUGGGAUAACUCCGGGAAACCGGGGCUAAUACCGGAUAACAUUUUGAACCGCAUGGUUCGAAAUUGAAAGGCGGCUUCGGCUGUCACUUAUGGAUGGACCCGCGUCGCACGAGCUAGUUGGUGAGGUAACGGCUCACCAAGGCAACGAUGCGUAGCCGACCUGAGAGGGUGAUCGGCCACACUGGGACUGAGACACGGCCCAGACUCCUACGGGAGGCAGCAGUAGGGAAUCUUCCGCAAUGGACGAAAGUCUGACGGAGCAACGCCGCGUGAGUGAUGAAGGCUUUCGGGUCGUAAAACUCUGUUGUUGGGGAAGAACAAGUGCUAGUUGAAUAAGCUGGCACCUUGACGGUACCUAACCAGAAAGCCACGGCUAACUACGUGCCAGCAGCCGCGGUAA